rnacentral:lncRNA from 1 species
UGAUUGGGUGGUUCUGGCCAGCUCGGGUGUCGCGUUCUCGUGGCGUGCGGAGGGCGGGGUCUGCGGGCCGUGCCGGGAGAGCAGGCCGGCGGCGUUCGUGGGUACCGAGCGGAGUGUAGGCGCUGAGGCCGGAAGCGGCCCUGCUCCGAGAGGCAUCGGUAGCCGCUCUGGCCCGGCUCGCGGGAAGCCCGGUCGACAGGAGGGACAGGCAAGGGCCCCGCUGCCUCCCUGCGUGUGUGAGGUAACGGACGCGUCGUGGGACGCGGAGGGACCCCGCACCGCGCGCGGUGGGGAAGCUCCCGGAGGAGGGGAGCUGUGAGCAGAGGCCGAAGACGGAGGGGUGUCCGGGGGUGGCGGGGGUGCGAUGCGGAGCAGCCUGCGGUGCGGAUGGGAGCUGCAGGUGAUCUGGUGUCGGUGGAGAUCUUAUUGGAAGUUCUGUAUGAAUGAGAUCGUGGAAGAUUUUGUUGGCCAUUUAGAGGGCUUGGACUUUGUCCUGAUGGCAGUGAAGAGCCACGGGAGGGUUUCUAAAGGGAAGGGGCCUGGCCCAGUUUGCUGCCAUCUGGGAGUGGAUUGAGGGGAGAGAGACUAGGUCGGGAGCCCGGGGUGGCGGCUGCGGCAGGCUCCUCGGCAAGAGGCCGAGCUGACAGGCUGUGUGGAAGGACGCGGCGGAGAGAGGCGGGAAAGGAAUAUUUCCGGCACCUAGAACAGUGCCUGGCAUACUGGAGAUACUUAGUAAAAAAAAUUUUUUUAAUGAACUUUCCUAGGAGGCAGGUACCAUUAUGAUCGCCCUUUUGCAGAUGAGGAUACUGAGAGCAGAGAAAGUUAAGUAACUUGCCCAAGAUCACAUAGCUAGGAAGUGGAGGGCUCAAGAUUUGUGUGUGUGUGUGUGUGUGUGUGUGUGUGUGUGUCUGUGUGAUCCACGGACUUAGCAGGGUGCAAGAUGAGCCUCAAGACAUCAGCAGGAGCCAAAUCGUGUAGGUCCUGUAAGAAAUGUGGGAUAAGCAUGGAAGUGUUUAUCGCCAGUUUCUGUUUCCAGACCUGCUCACUGACAGCCUACAUUGCAUCUCCGUUUGGAUGUCCAGAGAGAUCUUGAGAGUUAUUUUGGCCAAACUGAACUCCUGGUCUUUUCCCCAAAACCUGUUUCUCCCACGUUCUUCUCAGUAAAUGCCACUUCCAUCCUUGUCGUUGCUCAGACCAAAAGCUUUGGAGUUGUCCUUGACUCUCCUUUGUCUUAUGACUAUGUGUGGUCCAUCAGCAAUACCUUCAGAGUAUAUUCAGAACCUGCACAUUUCCUCCCAGCUCACUCUUGUCACCCUGGUCCUGUCCAUCCUCAUCUCCUGCCUAGACCAUCAUGGCAGCCUCCUCGGUGGUCCCCUUGUUCCUCACAGUCAGUUUGUCACAUGCAGUCAGAGGGAUGCUGUGAACACCUGCAUCAGGUCACAUCUCUGCCCUGUUCAGGACACUCAUGUGGCCCCAUGUCACAGAGAGAGAAUGCAAGAGUCUUCUCCAUGGCCUCAAGGCCCUGCGUGAUCUGUUCCCGUUACCUCUCUGACAUCAUCUACUCCUCUCUCCUUGUUCACUCUGAUCCAGCCACUCUGGCCUCAGGGCCUUUGCGCUUGCUGUUCUCUUUACCUGGAGCACUCUUCUCCCAAAUAGUCAAGGCUCCCCUUCACCUUCUCUAGAUCUUUUCUCAGAUGUCACCUUCUCCUUGAGAUUUUCCUUGACCACCUUCUGUAAUGGUACGACUAACAUUCAUCUGUUAACUUCCCAUUAACUUCUUUCUUAGCACUAAUCAUAUCAUUACUUAGCACACUAUAUAGUUGAUUUAUCUGUCUUACUUAUUGUCUGUCUCUCCUCUCCUCCAGCAGACCACAGGCUUCAUGAGGGCAGGGGCUGUUGACUACUUCAUGCUUUAUCUCCAACACCUAGGAGAGCUCUUGGCACACAGAGGCUCAGUAACUAUUUGUUGAAUGGAUGGAUGGAUGAUUUCAGAGCACAGCCCCUGACCUGGCAUCCUGGGGACUCUGUUGAUCUUCUUUCCACAGAACUUUAAGGGGCUGCCUUCCAGUUUUUUGAGGUCUCAGACCUUCAACAAGUAUUUCAUCUCGCCUCUGCUCUGUGCUCAGCGUUGGGAGCACAGCAGAGAACAAAACGGUUUCCCUGUCCCCAGAGAGCUCUCGGUCUCGGGCUGGGGUUCAGAUCACGCGCUCAUCACACACACAUGAAAUUACAAAGAAAGGGGGAGGGCGCUAGGAACACGCUGGACAGGAAGUCUGACGUGGCCCCCGGAAGUGAGGUUUGAGGCGAUGAAGGAAUAGGCCUUAGCUCCAUUAAGAGGUAACGGGGUGUUAGGGUCGGGGGGCACCUAGAGGCCGAGGGGGAGCCAAGGGCUGCACCACGCAGAUGCUGAAGGAGUUUGGGUCCUUACGCCUGGGGAGUGGAGGUUGUAGGGAAUUCUAGGCAGUGGAAGGAGGCGUUUUCAGUUACGUGUGCUGAAAGGUCCUCUGGCUGUUGCGUAUGGAGUUAACUUUAGGGGCUGAAGGACUGACGUAGAGACCCGUGACGAGGCUGUUAGCAUGAGACUGACACAGCUGGUACUAAAGAAGGCCGCACGCUCUUUGCUGUUUCUGCCGUCAGGAGGUGGAGUCCCCUCCCCUUUCGCCUGGGCUGCCCUGUCAUUUGUUUGGACCAGUAGAAGGUGGUCGAAGUGAUGCUGUGCAGGCUGGGGGCCCGGGCCACAAGAGGCCUGGCAGCUUCUGCUCUCACUCCGGGAGGCCUGGGCCGCUGUGUGAGGGCGUCCAGCUACCUGGCUUGAGAGAGACGUGGAAGGAGAGCCGCCCCGCCGGCCCCCAGCUGUCCCGCUGUUUCAGCUGAGCUGCCAGACGUGAGUGAUGCCGUCCUGGCUAUUCCAGCCUGGUUCCCAGCUGAAAACAUGUGGAGUAGAGACAAGCCAUCCCGAGUCACCUCGCCCUCUGCGCCUUGCCCAAGUUACAGAAUCGAGAGCAAAUAAACGGUUGCUAUUUUAAGCCACUCUGUUUUGGGAUAAUUUGUUAUCCAGCAAUAGCUGACUGAAACAAGCUAACGUUUUUUGAGAUCUUACCAUUUUAUGUGUUGGCUCAUUUAAUCCUCAUGGUCAGCCUGUGUGGUAAUGUUGUUACUGCCAUUAUUCUGAUGAGGAAACGAGGGCACAGAGAAGUUAAUGAAGUUAACUUCGUUAGCAAGAUAUCCUGGCACGUCAUCGGGCUGAGUACGUGGUAGCUGCUGUUAUCAGCAUCGUUUCCUCUGUAUUAAAAUUUCUGUGAUUGUUACAGAAGUGGUAGGAGGGCAAAUAAAAGCAUUAUUAACCCACUUGCGAGUGGUAUGAUUUUAGAUAUGUGACUUCACCUCUCUGAGGCUCAGUUUCUUCACUGUGAAAUGGAGAGUAUAGUGCUAUUCCUCUCACAGGGUUACUGUCAGGAGGCAGGGUCUGACAGAGAGCAAAUACCUAAUAUAUGGCAGGGAUGAUAAUUACUAUGAAGCAUGCAUCCAGGUUGUGUGGACAGCGAUCUUAGCACCACAAGGAUGAAGCCAUUUUCUUGGAAGCCCUACUGGAAAGACAGAAAUGUCCUUGGUGAUACUGGUGAAGUGCUGGAUCAGGCCUUACCUGAAGUGAGAUUACUUCUGGACUUUGUCAUUAGGGAAUACAAUAAAUCUUUUUGCAUCAUUUAAGCCAUUAAUUUGUAUCAUUAGUCUUUUUGUAUCAUUUAAGUUGAAUCAGGCUUUCUAUUACUUGGAACCAACAUCCUAACUGAUUCCACGGUUUUAUUCAUUUAUUUGUUGAUUCGUCAGAUAUUGAAUACUUACUCCAUGCCAAGCACUGUUUCAGGUGCUGCUGUUAUAACAGUAAACAAACCCCUCAAAAGCCCUGUCCUCAUGGAGCUUACGUUCUAGUGGGGAAGGUGGAUGAUAAGAAAAUAAAUAUUGAUGAUAAGCUUGAGGGGAGGAGGGCUGGAGAGGGACAGAGCUACCAUUUUAGGUGGAGGAGUCAAAUAAGACAUCUUUGAGAAAGUGUCAAUGGAAGAGGACCUGACACAAAGGGAGGAAGCCAGCUGUGUGUAUAUUUUGGGAAGAAGGACAUUCCAAGUAGAAAAAACAGCAAGUUCAAAGGCCCUGAGGUCAGCUUGGUGUGUUGGAGGAGUGAACUGGGCCAGAGUGAGCAGCUGGGAGGGGUGGAGCUGAGGGCCAGGCACGCAGGGCUGGCUGGGCCGCCAGAGGACUUGCAGUGGCUUCUCAGUGAAAGGACAGGCAGUCGGAGCCUUCUGAACUCCACAGUGCUGCGGUCUCGCGUCGCCGGCUGCCGUGUGGGCUCCAGGCUGGAGCGGGACUCCAGUGUGGAGGCUGCCACACUAGUGCAGCUGAGGGACGGUGGUGGCCUGGCCGCAGUGGCCGCGGUGGAGGUGGGGAGACACAGUCGGAGCCUGAAUGUAGUUUGAAGGAAGAGUGGGCAGGAUUGGGGGGGAUAGGCGUGGGGUGCGGAGGGGGAGUCAGCGACCCUUAGGCGUUUAGCCUGCGCCGGGAAGGAAGGAGGCCAGGAGCCGCGGAAGACUAGGGCUGUGGUGUGAGCCUCCCAGUGGCCUCGCUGGGCCCGCAGGGCGGCCUACGACGCUGGCAUUCAGGGCCCAGGUCUGGGCUGGAGAUGCAGAUUGGGAGUCACUUUCAUCUUCGUAGCGUUAAGGCCCAGGAUGAGGUUACUAAGGAGGGGAGUGUAGACGGAAACGAGGUCAGGGAGUGGGAGCAGGGGCCUGCGAGGCGGUGCUGGAGCGAUCCAGGAGAGAGAUGGGAGUGGCCUGGAGCAGGGCGGGGCAGGAGGGGCAGUCGUCGGGAGAUGCUGCGAGGGCAGGUCCCCAGCAGCCUGAUGGUGGGUGAGGAUGGUCGGCUGGAUGAGGGCCUCGUGAGAAUGGGACAGCGUUAGGACAUGGGGCAGGGGCUCUGCUUUCCUCCUUCCCUGGGCUCUGUGCUCUCCGCCUCUCGGGGCCUCUGCUGCUUCCUCUGUUUGCAGGCAACUGGCCUGGCCCCGGGUGGACUCCUGCCUCGACUCUGGGUGACCCUCCAGUGCUGUGCCCCACAGCCCCUCUGUCCCCAUUUGAAAUUCCUCAGACAGGAGUCGCAUAGCCGGGGUGCUGUGUCCAGUCCUGCUCAACCUGCUGUAGCUGGAGGAUUCCCGCAGUGACGUCUCAAAUAGUUGCAGUCACAAAGCGUUGCUGACAGGCGGAGUGGGGGCAGGCGUGGGGCGGGGGGGUGAUUUGACCCUGUUUUCAUGGCUAGGAGGGACAGGCCAUUUACGUAACCUCAGAUACGCCCUGUCUUGGGUGGCUGGGGGCGGGGAGCCCAGGAAGGUGGGCUCCAGCGGCACUGGGCUCAGAGGGGCAGCGUCGAGUCGGGGGAAGUGACGGGAGCCAGCACGGCCGCUGCCUGCCGCAGGUCCCCCCACAGCGGCCGGGGAGCCACUCAUUACUCGUCGCUCUCGAGGGACACAGCGAUGACUGAGACAGCCUCCACGCCGCCCUCAGAGCACAGCCCGGGCGGAGACCCUCGCCAGACAGGCUGUGGGGCCCAGAGGGAGCGCCUGACACGAUUCAAGGAUCCAAUCCAAGAUGCUACGCUGCGUUUAUUCAUCACGUCUCCUUGGUCUCCUCCAACCUGUGACAGUUCCCCGGUCUCUCCUUGUUUUUCAUGCCCGUGACAGUUUGAGGAGUACCGGUCAGGUGUUUUCUAGAAUGUCCCUCAGUCUGAUCUGUCUGACGUUUUCCUCGCGGUUAGAUCGGGAUCAUAGGUGUGAGGAGGAGGACCCCUCAGCUGGUGUUGACCUGGCUCCCUUCAUUCCGGUGGCGUCUUCUGGGUUCCUCGGCUGGAGCGUCACUGUUUUUCCCUCUCUUUACUCUGUCACGAAAUCCAGCCCACACUCGGAGGGAGGAGAAUUAAGCUCCAGCUCCUGGAGGGAAAAAUACCAAAGAAUUUGUCUGCAUGUGUUAAGACCACCACAGUAACUAAUAAACAUGGGAAGAUACGUGGCAGCCGUGCAAAGGCCGUGCUGUUCUCAGUUCCACAGCUCGUUUUAGCGUUCGUCCACGGCAGUUACUACUGUGGUGUUCCAGUGGCGAUUUCCUAUUUCCUUCACUUCUUCUGCAGUUGUUAUUUGGGAUUCUUCUGUAGGAAGAUUUGUCCCCACUACCUUGUUUAUUUUCUUUGUACAGUCGUUAAUUUAUAUCAGUCUGGACUCACGGAUGUUUGUUUUAUUCUUUGGGUGUAACCCAAGAAUAUCGCAAUUAAUUUUUUCAGUCAGAUUGUUCCAGUUUGGGCCAUGGGGCUCUUUCAGGUUUCCUCCUGUGUUUUGUUUUUUUUUUUUCUUCCUCCCUUGAGCACCUCCUUACCUCCUGGCGCUGUGAGAUGCUCCAGACUUGUCUUGUGUUUUCCCUGCUCCGGCCCUGGGAUCGCCAUUUCUCCAGGGGGCCCUGGUUCCUUCUGUUGGAGGUGGACUGAGACACCUAGGUCUGGGCACUGAGCGUGGUCAUUGCUGCUGGGCUGUCACUGUUUCUAGUCCCCGUCAGCUGACAGAGCUGGCAAAUACAUGUCUUUGUACAAACCCAGUAUACCCAUGUCUAUACUCUGUAUGUGGAUAGAUACAGACAUCUGUGCAUGAAGAGAAACGUGAGUCUGUACUGAUAGCUCUGACCAGCCCGAGGGUUGGUCCUCGCCUCUCCCUGGCUUACUUAGUGACUUCCUUCUCCGACCGUGAGAAGCCUGGCUCUGUGGUCACUAUUCGUGUCUGUCUUGUGGGCCCCCUUGGCAGACGCUAGCAGCGCUGGCCGUUCCCGCCUUCUAUAAGGACACUCUCCCCUCCGUUUCUGUGAUGAUGCUGGCCCCUGAGCUUUCUCCUCUGUCUUGCUUCUUUGCAGGAAGUUCCUGUUUUCACGGAUCCCUUAAAUGUGGGGGCUCUUCUGUCCUCCCCCCUGGGCCAUCUUACACUCUUUUAUGGUCUCUUUCCUGUCUCUGUGCUGAUGGCACCCACUCUCUGCCCUCAGUUCUGACCUGUUCCCUGAGCCCCAGACCUGGGGGUCCUGAGGCCUCACGAAGCCCCCUCCUGCCCUCAGCCCUGGAUGAUCCCUGCGCCCCGAACACUCACCUUGUCCCAAAUUGCAAACCUGCUCCUCCUCUCGGCCCCUGUCUCAGGAGUGGCCCCUCCGUACCCCAGGCUCACGAGAGAGCCCCGAGCCCGUCUUUGAUGCCUCGCUCCCCACCCCGGCCACCAGCUCCACCCGUCAGUCUCCCUAGCUUGUCCACCAGGACUCCUGGCUGUCUCCCCCAUCUGCCCCCUUCUCGCCUUUCAUGGCCCUGCCUUGGUCCACCCUGUCCUCUCCCACCUUGUCUCUGCCUGACCUCCUCCCGGGCCCUGGCCUCCCGUCUCUCUGUAACCCACCUCCACUUGGCCCUUAGAGGGACUUUUGUGGAACGCAGAUCUGAUCAAGUCCUCCUGCCUGGAGCUUUCCCGUGUUUCUCCAGUGUCCUCAGGACAAGGUCCUAACUCCUUAACCCAAGGCUUGGUGCCACUGGCCCCUGACCAUCACCUCGGCCUGUGUCCUGACUGCCUAAGCUUCAGACACUGAACUUCUUGUUUCCUUGAACGUGACCCGUGCACCACCCGGGCCUCCGCGUGGACCCUGCGCCAGCAACCCUCAGCCCUGCCGGCCCUGCCCGGUCCGCGCCCACCCACUUUCUCCCCGCUCACAUUGUUUUGAGACAGUCCCAGACAUCAUCCUCUGUAGGGAUGGCGAGUAAAUGUCAGCAGUGGGCAUUUCUGAGUGUAGGAAGCAGGAGGGGAGCUUUACUGUUAAAAAAUGUUUGCAGGGAACAUGUUUUCAUCGCACAGUAAUGUGACACCAGUAGCUGUUGUGGGGGAAGAAGUUAACUAAACAAGAAACAGUCACAUCAUCUUUGAGUUUAAGAGGAAAAGACUUUCAGGAAUCAUCUUAUCUCUUUCAAGAUUCCAGAGCAGCAAGCAGAGAGUAGAGAUGUGUUUCUCUGGGCGUGGUGACCGCGACGCCACAGUGACCUUUAAGGGGUGCCUGUAAGCUUCCUUUUAAAUCACGCCAACUGAGGGAAUUUUCUACCGUUAAUUUUCACAGUUUUUGUAAACAUGACUCGUGAUUUAUCUAAAUGGUAUCUUACAAGCGUUAGGAACAACUAAAUUACAUAGAAGGACUUCAUCCGUGUGAAGGAAGGUUCCUCCGGUACAUUGGUGUUGGGAGAAUUCUUGGCUUCUACUCUGAUACGAGUGGCUACCGGGACGGUGAAUUCCGUGGAAAGGAGCCGUGAAUGCAUCCGUUUCGAGACCUUUUGCAGUUUUAAAUCUGACCAGCACGUGCUUUAAUAAUAAAUGGCAACAUUUACACGGCGCCACCUUCGCGCCAGGCACCUCGUCAGCUCUUGAUGUGCAUUGAUUCCGUGGUCCCCACCCAGCCCUCAGGACGGAGCUGCUGUCGUCGUGCCAGGUGGUCUGUGCGGCAUUCAGAACUGAAGGCCCUUCCCCCAGGUUCCAUCGCUAGACAGUGGCAGCACUGAGGCUUGAACCCGGGUCCUGGUUGCUUCUACUGUCUGUGCCUUCAAGCACCUUUCUCCUGGAUUCCAUUCUCAAAGGAGAUGCUCACGUUGCUGCUGGUGCAGUCGCUUCUUUUUGGAAGAAGGGCUUCAAUUACUUUUCUCUCCAGCUGCUAAAAAUCUUUUUUGACAUCCCCAAUUAUUUGUAAAGAAAAAGACUUUUAACUGCUUUUUUAGGGACAAUUUCCAACGUACACAAAAGCAGAGAGAAAAGUGUAAUGAACGCCCACGUCCCCAUCAUCCAGCUGCUACAGUCACUGUGAGGGGGCCAUUUCUGUGCCGUCCAUGUCCUGCACAUUUUUCUUCCCUGCUCAGUUAUUUUGAAGCGAAUCUAGAUACAUCUUUUUAAGACAUUUUCUUUUAAAGGAAAGGUAACCCACAAUUCCUUGCUCCGAGUCCUCCCUGAGCCUCUGUUCCCACUCCCCCAGUUUCCAGAAGCAGAGGGAUCUGUGCGUGUGGGACACCAUCCCCUGGCUCUCCCUGGCCCCUUUCCUGUAACCCCAUCCUCCAGGCCUUUCUCCCCGGCGCUCUGAAGCCUGAAAACGAUCCCUCUUCGUGACUGUGGCCAGCCUGGUGCCGCUUGGCAGCCCCGUCACCCGCAGCGGGACAUUUAAUCUGCAGUGGCUUCUUGCCAUGGUUGUAGCCUCUUCCCUUAUUUGGGUUCUUUUCUGGAUGCCCCCGCCACCCAAACCAGGUCAGGCCUCCUGUCCCACCAACUGCGCGCUGUAGCUUCCCCUCAGGCACGUUACGUGUAAGAGUCAAAACGAAACAGAGAUUUGUGUACUUAUCUAUCAGUUGCCCGGGAGCUCCAUGGGGCAGGAAUCAGGUCUGUCUUCAUCCCCGCCGUGUCCCCUGCGUCACCCAGCACAGGGCCCCACAUCAGCAGGUGCUCAGUCCCAGUGAGGCAUGAAUGAAUGAGUGUUUGCCAGAGUCAAUAGCUGGGCAUUUAUCAUGAAGGCAAUAGGAAGCGACAGAGGUGUUUUGGGCAGGACUGGACCCGUUGUUUUCAAACUGCCGUGUGUAUAGAUCCCCUGAGGGCUUGUUAAAAUGCAGAUUCUUGAGUCACUGGGUCUCGGGAGGGGUCGGAGGGGCCUGAAGUUCCACGUCUCUGACAAGCGCCCCAGUGAUGCCAAUGUUUUGAGUAGCCAGGGUCUUGCUGUGUUCAGGACAGCAGCUACCUACCUCCCGUGGCUGCUGGGCACCUGCAGUGCGGCUAAUGUGAGCCGAGAUGACUUUAAGUGUAAAAUACCCACCAGGUUUCAAAGACUCAGUCCAAAAAACAGAAUGUAAAAUAUCUCAAUAAUUUUUGUAUUGAUCACAUGUUAAUCUGAUCACAUGUAAUAUUUUGGAUAUA